GAUGAACGCUGGCGGCGUGCCUAACACAUGCAAGUCGAGCGUGAUUGUGUGGAUUGAAGCUUCGGCAGAGAGAAACACAUGAAAGAGGCGGACGGGUGAGUAACGCGUGGGCAACCUGCCCCAGACAGCGGAAUCGCCACAGGAAACGGUGAUUAAUGCCGCAUAAGACCACAGUAUCGCAUGGUACGGGGGUCAAAGAUUUAUCGGUAUGGGAUGGGCCCGCGUCUGAUUAGCUAGCUGGGGAGGUGACGGCGCACCAAGGCGACGAUCAGUAGCCGACCUGAGAGGGCGGACGGCCACACUGGAACUGAGCCGCGGUCCAGACUCCUACGGGAGGAAGCAGUGGGGAAUAUUGCACAAUGGGCGCAAGCCUGAUGCAGCAACGCCGCGUGAGUGAAGAAGGCCUUCGGGUCGUAAAACUCUGUCCUGUGGGAAGAAAAAAAUGACGGUACCACAGGAGGAAGCCCCGGCUAACUACGUGCCAGCCGCCGCCGUAA
rnacentral:rRNA from 1 species